UGAAAUAGACUGUGGCAUAGAACUAACAGGUGGAGGACCGUUAAUGCAACUAGCUUCGAACUUCCGUAGAUAAUACUUGGAAUUGGUUAUACUUUAACAACAUGGAACAUGCAACAAAAAUGAAAUUAUUUUUGUUAAAAUAUGUGUAUAUUGUUUACACAUGUGCAACGUAUUCCCAUAGAACAGUUGCACACAGUUACCGGUAGCACCGGCGAUGACCCCGAUUUAAGCACCUGCAAAGAUUCCUCGAGGCGGCCGAUGUUCAUGGAAAGUCAAAAGAGUAAGAAGAUCCUAGAUACGGAUAUAAGUUAAUACAUAUUGUUCCUUGUUCACAUGCGCAACGCUCGUGUACGUAUUAUUUUCUCACAAUUUCUAUCUUUUUCCCGGCCCAUUAUCCACCGUUCUUGUGCAAUUUUUAUUAAUUAACGUUUAAUUAUUCUAACUGACCAAAAUUUCGUAAGGUGAAUAACAGGUUUUUUUUUUUUUUAUGAAACGCUCGUGGCUUGACACACGCUUGACGGAUCAAUGGAAAAUUGUAUAUGUGGAAGAAAUUUGUAUUGUUAUUAAACAGCUAGGGAAUAAUUUCGAGAUAAUUAUUUUAAAGUUAAAAUUACCCGUAAUUCCAGAGAAUCUAUUUUUAAAAUAAACCGUAAGGGAUAAUGAAAUAAGGAUGUUGGCCAUCGAAUUCAUAUGCACGGAUGAAACCGAUGUCAUCGAUAUAUAGUCAUGGACUAACGGAGAAACUUGAUUCGGUCAGAUUAGACUGCCUAUUCGGUCGAUGACCUUACAUAGUCCAAGAUUCUGUUACCUAUUCAUCGAUCUUUCGGAGGAAUAAACGAUGACGCGUUUAAUUGGAAAAUACGAUGUUAAUUUUCGUAGAACUUUGACAAAUGUUUGUUCAAAUUCUUUCUUCUCGUUUUAAAAUUUCCAUCAUUUUUUAUCUAAUUUGAUCGUGGAUCUAUCAUUUCUUUUAUA